UACCACUCCUUUGCAGCACUCUCUGAGAGGUUUAGAAGUCAUCAUAUUUCUCCCAACAUUCUGGGCCCUCAUUUUACCAACUUCAGAAGGAUGGAAGGCUGAGUCAACCUCGAGCUGGUCAGGAUUGAACUCUACACUGGGUUGUAU